rnacentral:rRNA from 1 species
UACGUAGGGUGCGAGCGUUGCCCGGAUUUAUUGGGCGUAAAGGGCGCGUAGGCGGCUCGGCACGUCCGUUGUGAAAUCGCCCGGCUCAACUGGGCGGGGGCAGCGGAUACGGCCGAGCUGGAGCAAGCUAGGGGGUAAUGGAAUUCCCGGUGUAGUGGUGGAAUGCGUAGAUAUCGGGAGGAACACCAGUGGCGAAGGCGGUUACCUGGAGCUUUGCUGACGCUGAUGCGCGAAAGCGUGGGGAGCGAUCCGG